GGCUGUGUGGCAUAGUGGUUUGAAUAUUGGACUACAACUCUGGAAACCAGAGUUCAAUUGCCUGCUUGGCCA